AGUGAACGCUGGCGGCAGGCUUAAUACAUGCAAGUCGAACGAGCGGCGGACGGGUGAGUAAUAUCUGAUAAACUGCCUGAUGGAGGGGGAUAACUAGUAGCAACGGUAGCUACUACCGCAUACCAUCGGGGGUGCCUUGAUGGGAGUAGCUAGUAGGUGGGGUAAUGGCUCACCUAGUCGACGAUCACUGGCUGGACUGAGAGUAUGACCAGCCACACUGCAACUGAGACACGGUCCAGACCCCUACGGGAGGCAGCGUAGGGGAAUAUUGCACAAUGGGCGCAAGCCGAAUGCAGCCAUGCCGCGCGUGUGAAGAAGACCUUCGGGUUGUAAAGGACUAUCAGUGAGGAGGCGUUACCCGAAGAAGAAGCACCGGCUAACUCCGUGCCAGCAGCCGCGGUAAUAC
rnacentral:rRNA from 1 species